UAGUAGUCCUUCUUUUGCUGUGUGGCUAAGUGAUGAUGUUUACUUUUCCUGGUCGCCUUCUGUACUACAUAGCAGAAUGAGUCCCCACUUCAACCUGGGGCGUGUAUGGCCGUUCCCGACCAUCUAUCCCGACUGGCGAACUCCCGUGACCCAAGAUGUGCUCCUCAUGGGAUGGGUCGCGGCCUUCUUCGCCCUCCUGCUGCCCUUCUAUCUCGUCAUUCCGGCUUCUAGUUACAAAUUAUCAAGA